AUUGAACGCUGGCGGCAUGCUUUACACAUGCAAGUCGAACGGUAACAGGCCUUCGGGUGCUGACGAGUGGCGAACGGGUGCGUAAUGCAUCGGAACGUACCCAGAGGUGCGGGAUAACGCAGCGAAAGCUGUGCUAAUACCGCAUGUGAUCUGAGGAUGAAAGCGGGGGACCGAGCAGCAAUGUUUGGCCUCGCGCCUUUGGAGCGGCCGAUGUCGGAUUAGCUAGUUGGUGGGGUAAAGGCCUACCAAGGCGACGAUCCGUAGCUGGUCUGAGAGGACGACCAGCCACACUGGGACUGAGACACGGCCCAGACUCCUACGGGAGGCAGCAGUGGGGAAUUUUGGACAAUGGGCGCAAGCCUGAUCCAGCAAUGCCGCGUGCGGGAAGAAGGCCUUCGGGUUGUAAACCGCUUUUGUCAGGAACGAAACGGUGUCCGCUAAUACCGGGCGCUAAUGACGGUACCUGCAGAAUAAGCACCGGCUAACUACGUG
rnacentral:rRNA from 1 species